GUCCUUAGUAUGAUAGCUAUGACCCUCGGCUUGUAAUCGAGUGGGUUCGGGUUCGAAUCCCGAGUAAGACA